rnacentral:rRNA from 1 species
UGGUGAAUAUUGCACAAUGGAGGGAACUCUGAUGCAGCGACGCCGCGUGAACGAAGAAGGCUUUCGAGUCGUAAAGUUCUUUUAUAUGGGAAGAUAAUGACGGUACCAUAAGAAGAAGCCCCGGCUAACUACGUGCCAGCAGCCGCGGUAAUACGUAGGGGGCUAGCGUUGUCCGGAAUCACUGGGCGUAAAGGGUUCGCAGGCGGAAAUGCAAGUCAGGUGUAAAAGGCAGUAGCUUAACUACUGUAAGCAUUUGAAACUGCAUAUCUUGAGAAGAGUAGAGGUAAGUGGAAUUUUUAGUGUAGCGGUGAAAUGCGUAGAUAUUAAAAAGAAUACCGGUGGCGAAGGCGACUUACUGGGCUCAUUCUGACGCUGAGGAACGAAAGCGUGGGUAGCAAACAGG